rnacentral:piRNA from 1 species
UGUACUUGGCGUUGCUCGGCCGUGUC